UGAUGAGCUUGGCUCUAAUCCGACGUUGUUGGAUGCAUUGAGGGAGUUAGCAUAGUUCUGAGUUUGUCGAUCAUGAAUAAUCAUUGCUCUUAGUGUGGGUGUACAGAUUCCUUCAAAUGGCGGCGCAUACCCGGCACAUGUGUUUGAGUAGGUCACGUUUUGGGUUGGUGAUGAAUGUGGAAAACAUAGUCAGGUGGAAACCUAUGCACACUGAGCAGCCACACGUGUGCAGCAGGUACGCAGUUAUUCUAGGACAAUGCCAGUGAGAGCAGAACUGAAGUCCUAUGCUGGUCAUAGGGGGAGCUUGCUUAAUUUCGAUUCUUACUGCGAAUACGGAGUUGUGGAAGCGUGGCGUUUUGAUCCUUUAUGCUUGAGAUAUUUUCAGCUAGUGGUAUCAGAAAAGUUGCCACA
rnacentral:ncRNA from 1 species